rnacentral:rRNA from 1 species
UACAGAGGGUGCGAGCGUUACUCGGAAUUACUGGGCGUAAAGCGCACGUAGUCGGCUUUGCAAGUCGGUUGUGAAAUCCCCGGGCUCAACCUGGGAACUGCAUCCGAGACUGCAUUGCUAGAGUAUGGGAGAGGGAAGCGGAAUUUCUGGUGUAGCAGUGAAAUGCGUAGAUAUCGAGAGGAACACCUGCGGCGAAGGCGGGUUGCUGGGCUGACACUGACGCUGAGGCGCGAAAGCUAGGGGAGCGAACGGG